AACUAACGCUGGCGGCGUGCCUAACACAUGCAAGUCGUACGAGAAAGUUGGCUUCGGCCGAUGAGUAAAGUGGCGCACGGGUGAGUAAUGCGUGGAUAAUCUGCCCUUUAGUUGGGAAUAACGUACCGAAAGGUGCGCUAAUACCUGAUAAUACUGCAUAACUACUGUUGUGUAGUCAAAGAAGGCCUCUGUUUACAAGCUUUUGCUGAAGGAUGAGUCCGCGUACCAUUAGCUGGUUGGUGGGGUAAUGGCCUACCAAGGCUACGAUGGUUAGCUGGUCUGAGAGGAUGAUCAGCCACACUGGAACUGAGACACGGUCCAGACUCCUACGGGAGGCAGCAGUGAGGAAUAUUGGACAAUGCCCGCAAGGGUGAUCCAGCCAUGCCGCGUGCAGGAAGACGGCCCUAUGGGUUGUAAACUGCUUUUACACCGGAGAAAACCCCCUACCGUGUAGGGGGCUGAUAGUAUGGUGAGAAUAAGCAUCGGCUAACUU
rnacentral:rRNA from 1 species